AGAGUUUGAUCCUGGCUCAGGACGAACGCUGGCGGCGUGCUUAACACAUGCAAGUCGAGCGGUAAGGCCUUUCGGGGUACACGAGCGGCGAACGGGUGAGUAACACGUGGGUGAUCUGCCCUGCACUUCGGGAUAAGCCUGGGAAACUGGGUCUAAUACCGGAUAUGACCUCAGGUUGCAUGACUUGGGGUGGAAAGAUUUAUCGGUGCAGGAUGGGCCCGCGGCCUAUCAGCUUGUUGGUGGGGUAAUGGCCUACCAAGGCGACGACGGGUAGCCGACCUGAGAGGGUGACCGGCCACACUGGGACUGAGACACGGCCCAGACUCCUACGGGAGGCAGCAGUGGGGAAUAUUGCACAAUGGGCGAAAGCCUGAUGCAGCGACGCCGCGUGAGGGAUGACGGCCUUCGGGUUGUAAACCUCUUUCAGCAGGGACGAAGCGCAAGGGACG
rnacentral:rRNA from 1 species